GAAUUAAAUAAAGCGGAAGAAUAAUGGUAAAUACAGUGGAGCUCUAGUCAGCGUUUUACUGUACGUAACACAGUGGAUCUCCAUCGACGAGGACAUUUAUCGAGCCGAAUAUGGUCUUGGGAAAAAUACCGAGGAAGGGCCUCUUGGGUAUGUUCGUCACGAGGCGACACGUGCUUCUCGACUCGGAUAUGACAGACGUUAACGGAAAACCGGACUGACGUCAUACGAAGCCUCGAGACAGAAGGAGGACGAAUUCUGAGCACAUCCCUCAAGAAUAUCGACGUGGCAUUAUCGCAUUGCGAUCCUUCCGGAUGCGGAUUCGUCGAUUUCGUCGUUCGGAACGAGUCGCGGUGCUCAGGAGCGGUGACCGUUUUGGAAAAAUUGAUGGAACGGAAAAUGAGCUCCGAACGACGCACGCUCGAGGACCUCCGCAUCGCGGACAGGCGCGAAUUCGAAUCGUGAUUUCAACUUAUGGUUUCGGUGUCAAAUGAAAUCGAAAGUGCAGAGUUGAGCGUACGAUUUCGGGGUCAAAUUUCCUGCCCAAUCGCGUGGAUGCGAUCGAAUCGACACCUUCGGUGAUUAACCGACGAGGAAAAUCGAGGGAAAAAUUUCGAAUGUUCCAAUGUACCGUUUGAGAUGAGACUUGAGAAAAUGAGAGCACGCGGAAAGUUUCGAGACGAUUGUAGGCAAAGGCGCUUGACGAGGGUUUCUCUGGAGCUGGGACUCGGUCGCUUCUGUGCGAAACACCCGAUUGAUCGUUGCAUCGAGUAUACAGAUUUGCUACCGGGCCAUUAAUCACGAAGUCACACAAGCAGAAUUAACACUUCUGAUAAAUGAGCACCGGUGCUCAAAGAAUAACAACAAUUUCGCACAAUAAUAAAACAUACGAAAGACGUCAGAGUCGCUAAUGGGAGUGAAAACGAGACUGGAGGUCAAGCCGAUCAAUCACGGACAUUAAUAGA